AUUAAUACCCUAUGUUCUUCAAUGCGGACAUCUAAGUUGAAGCAAAGACUUGUCGCUAAGGGAUGGGGAUGCGUCUGAUUAGGUACGUAGGCGGGGUAACGGCCCACCUAGCCGACGAUCAGUAGGGUUCUGAGAGGAAGGUCCCCCACAUUGGUACUGAGACACGGACCAAACUCCUACGGGAGGCAGCAGUGAGGAAUAUUGGUCAAUGGACGGGAGUCUGAACCAGCCAAGUAGCGUGCAGGAUGACGGCCCUAUGGGGUUGUAAACUGCUUUUAUGCGGGGAUAAAGUCGCCCACGUGUGGGUGUUUGCAUGUACCGUAUGAAUAAGGACCGGCUAAUUCCGUGCC
rnacentral:rRNA from 1 species